UCUGCUGUCCGCAGUUCAGGGCAGGCAGGCCUUCUCUGCCCCUGGUCUUUUGCCCUUCCCUCUCAGCCGAGUUGCUGGCAAGAGGCAGACUUCUUACGCGGCAGUGGGCGUUUAGUUCGAUUUUGUUGGGUAGAUUAAGAAGUCGGGAAGGGUUUAGGCACUGCCCGCCGCCUACAGUAUUCUCCGAGUGAAAAAUUUUAAAUAUGUAUAUUUUUCCUUUUUUGCGGUGCUGGAGACCAAACCCAGACUUUCCUGAAUGUCAGGCAAGCACUUGCCACUGCAUUACACCCCCAGUCAACCAGAAUUUACUUAUGGUAAUUUUCAGACAUACAAAAUGGGAGUAGUAGUAACUGCCCAUGUUCUGCCCUACAGCUUCUUUAUGUAUUAAACUUUCCAGUCUUGUUUUAUUUGUUUUCUGUGCUCUGCCUUUUUCCCCCCUCCUUUUCCAGGGCUACUUUAAGACAAAUUCCAAAUUGCUUUUCUUUUUUCAACCAUAAAUGCUUAAUGGUGAACCACAAAUCAGUUACUGAAGAAGUAACCUCUGUUUAUACCUAACAAAUGUAACAGGAAUCUCUCAGGUAUGUCUUUUACUAUAAUGCUGUUAGUCAUAUUGCCAAGAGGUCAUACGUGUAUAACUUUAUUUUUUACUUUUUUUAAUUUUAUCUUUAGGAAUAACUUUUACUGAAACUUUCCUAAGUCAUAAUCUUUGUUAGCCAGUAGUCUAGGACAGUGGUGGCAAAUGCAUGGCACAUAUGCCAUAUAGGCAGUUCCUAUCAUUGAGAAGCUCUAAGAGGUUCAUCAUCAUUGGUCUAGGGUAAUUAUCUCUAGUUCUUCGAACAUCGUGAUUCUUUUUUUCUUUUUUCUUUCUUUCGUUCUUUACUUUUUUUUGGACAGAGUCUUGCUAUGUAGUUCAGGCUGGCCUUGGGACUCACUUUUGUAACCGAGGCUGGCCUCAAGCUCACAGUAAUCCUCUUGCUUAGCCUCCCAAGUGCUAGGAUUAUAGGCAUGAGCCACCACACCUGGCUGGACAUUAUAAUUUGUAGUGGACUUUUGGUAGGCACCUGUCUUCCUCUUUCCAUUCCUGCUUUUCUUCCUCCUUCCUUUCUCUCCUUCCCUUGCUCUUUUCCUUCUCAUCCUGGGCAGUAAAGUACAUAAGUCAUCAGUGGGCCCAGUGGGUUUUCACCAAGUGGACAUGCCCCAUAAAACCAGCAGCCAGGUCAGCUUUCCAAUGUGGCCCAGGCUUGCUGCCUCUAGCACAAGCACUAUUCCAAGAGAUUGACACAUGCUUGCUCAUCUGACCAGUGACCUUGUAGACCCACCCUACAGUCUGCCCAUUUUAUAGAUAGGAAAACAGGCAGCAAGUACUAAAUCAUUGACUCUAGGUUGACAGCCUCUAGGUUUUGUUCAUCUGGUGCAGCUGCUGUGUCAGAGUUAGGUUUGAUCUGAAGCCCGUGAAGCAGCUUAUAAGACACUUUACCAUCACCCAGGGCUGAUAAAUUAUUGUCUCUGAUUUUAAAUACAGUGUAUAUUUAAACAAAAAUUUAUUAAAUAAAUUCAUUAUAGUAAAAGACAUAUUGCCCUUAAUCUCCAACAAAAUACUCCUUCUUACUUUGAACACAGUUAUCAUAUCUUGUCACUUCCUGAAACAAUUCUGCAAGUCCUUUCUUGUGUCUCAUGAGAUGUGGUUAAAAUUGUGGCAAAUGCUGCUGGUAAGCAGCAUCCAAAAGAAAAGUAGGCUUGCAAAAACAUUGUGGUAUGUCCUCUUCUAUCUUAGUCACUAGAUUUAGGCCUGUGCAACUUCCCCAAAGUCAAAGUGGCCGUGAAAGGUAAAUGUUUUGAAUCAGUUCAGGACAUCAAGGCAGUAAUGACAGUAAACUAAAGACAUUCAUGAGAGAGGACUUGCCAAACUGUAGCAAGAAUUGAAUCAAGGGGAGUAUUUUGAGAUGGUUUAGUGGUAAUGUUUUUUACUGUAGUGAUUUUUUAAAAACUAAACUUUCAUUGUAUGUUUUGUUCAUACUGUGUAAUAAUUCUCUACACGUGUUGUUUAUAAAUGGUAUUUAUGUUUUAUGUAGUGUUUGUGUGUGUGUGUGUGUGUGUGUGUGUGUGUGAUCACAGAUUGAACUCAAGACCUUUGCACUGAACUACACCCCAAACCCUUUUUAGUUUUUGUUUUGAAAUAAAUCGUCAAAUUGAGCUCAAACGUUCAGUCCUCCUGCUUCAGUCUACCAGACUGCUAGGAUAAUAGGUGUGUGCUACCAUGCCCAGCUGAUUUUUAAAUUCUUAAAAUAGAAAGUACAGUACCAUGUUAAUUGCUUGUCUCUUGCUUUUUUCAUUAACUAUGUUUUUUUUCUUUUUACCGCUUCUUGUGUGUGUGUGUGUGUGUGUGUGUGUGUGUGUGGUACUGAGACUGAACCCAAGACCUCUCAUGCUGAACUAUAACCCCUGCCCUUAAUACGUUUUUGAGAGAUGUCCAAGUUCUUUUUUUUUUUUUAAAUGGUACUUGGAGUUGAACCUAGGGUCUUCAUACUGAACUACAUCACCAGCACUUUUUAAAAAAAUUUUUGGAGAUAAGGUCUCACUAUGUUUUACACACAUAACUGAAACUUGCUGUCCUCUUGCCUCAGCCUCACAGAGUGCUGGGAUUACCAGCAUGUACUGCUAUUCUUGGCUCCAAGUUGAUAUUUAUAGAACUGUUGUAUUCAUUUUAACCUGUUGUUGUUUUCCCUCAUGAAUAUAUAUUUAUAUAUUUAUUAUGUUUUAUUUAUUCUUUGCCAUUCUGAUCGUUCAGUGUUCAUUUAAUGCAGACAACAUACAGUGAGUAUCCUCACACAUGUUGUUGCACUGAUUGCCUGUAUCUGCAGUGUGUAACCAGUGUGUGCAUAUUUUAGUGCAGAGGUAUAUAUGUUUUUGGUUUCUGUAUAAAAAAUGCCUUUGUGGGUUUUUUUUUUUUUUUUUUUUUUGUCUUUUUCGUUUUUAUCGGUACCGGGGAUCGAAUUCACGACUGCCUGCUUGCAAGGCGGGCGCUCAUGCUGCUGAGCUAAAUCCCCAGCCCCCAAAAUGCCUUUUUUUAAAAUGCUGGGUAUUAUUGUACCCAGAAUCUUAUUUAUGCUAGGCAUAAAUAGAAAGUACAGUAGCAUGUUACUCAGUGCUAUACCACUGAGCUGUACCCUUUGCCUGCUAGUGUUCUUCUGGCUACUUACAGUGAUAUUGUCUGACUUUGACAUUUGUGCUCAUGGAAGAAAUGUGGGGGAGGCUGGGUGUGGUGGCCCAUGCCUGUAAGUCUAGCAUUCAGGAGGCUGAAGUGGGAGGAUUGCUGCAAGCUUGAGGCCAGCCUAGGCUUUGUAGUGAGUUCAGGGCCAGCCUAAACUACAUAGUAAGACCCUGUCUCAAGGAAAAACCAAAACAAAAUGAAAUAAAAUAAAAAGAAAGGUGGAAGCCGGGCGUGGUGGCUCACGCCUGUAAUCCAAGCACUUGGGAGGCUGAGGCAGGAGGAUCGCUUCGAGUUCAAGACCAGCCUAGGCUACAAAGUGAGCACAAGGCCAGCCUGAACUGCAUAGUGAGACCCUGUCUCAAAAAGACAGAAAAAAAAAAAACAACAAAGGGAGAGUAAUGACAUCUAGAUAGAAUUUUGCAUUUCCUCAGUUACUAGUGAGGUUUAACACUUUUCACACUGGUUUUAUUUUAAAUCUCUUUCUCAGUUACUGAGAGGGUAGACUGCAUUAUUGUACGCAAAGGAUAUAGAAGUAUGAGGAGCAAGCACUGAUGGUCUUCUUUACCUUGUUAUUAUAAGAUAAAUUCAGUAAUAGAAAAUUAACAUAGAACUUGGGACAGUUCCCAACUUUUUGGGUACCAGGAACUGGCUUCUCAGGAAAGAUAAUUUUUCCGCAAACAGGGGAGGGGUAGUUUCAGAAUAAUUCAAGCACAUUGGAUUUAUUGUUUACUUUAUUUCCAUUAUUACAUAUGUUACAUGAUAGAACUGUGGGGGACAGGCGGCGGCUGAAAAGAUAAGAAGUAUGAAAUAUAAAUGACCUUUAUUUUGAGAAUGCGGGGAGAAACACCCCAAUCCCCUGGGGCGUGGCAUUUCCACCCCGGGUCAGCAAUCUCUCCAUGGAACACAUGGAGUGAGGCACGUAAGUAGCCUCGGUUUGGGGUAGAACCUAAGGGGGCAUUAGGGAUACACAGGUAGCCCACUGGUCUUUGUUUGGCGCCAGAGGUAAAUCCUAAGGAUGGGGGAGAUGGCGCUCCUUGGUUCCGGCUGAGGCUUUACCAGCUACAGUGUCCGGCCUGGGCCAAAACUCUUUCAACCUUAUUUGUUUGUUUGUUUUUUAUUAGUACAUGUUUGUAGUAUGUAAUGUUUACAUUCCUUGUAGGGAAUUGAUACAUAUGCAUAACACAUCUUAAUUCCUUUUUCAUCCUCUUUCCCUUCUCUGCCUUUAUCUUUUGACUCCUUUUCCCUUCUAGAGCAUUCUUUCCUACUUCCUAGUAUCUACCUUUUACUUGCUCUUUAUUUAUUUAAUUCAGGUGAGAAACCAGGCAAUAUUUAAGUUUGCAUGUCUGGUUUAUUUCACUUAAAAUUAUGGUUUCAAGGUACAUCUGUUUUCCUACAAAUCAUUUAUUUUUCUUUGUGGCAAAGUAAUAUUCAUUGUGUGUGAAAAUCACAUUUUCUUUAUUCAUUCAUUGUUGAUGGAUAUUUAGGCCAUUUCCAAGAUUUAGCUAUUAUGAAUUGUGUUGGCUAUAAAUAUGAGUCUGUAUGUAUCACUAUAAUAUGAUGUAUUUAACUCUUUCAGGAAGAUAUCUAAAAGGUGAAUAACCGAGUCAAAUGGAAUUUCUAGUUUUAGUUUUUUGUAGAAUCUCCAAACUUAUAUAUCCAUAGUGAUAGUGUUAGUUUACAUUUCCACCAACAGUUCAGUAGUGCUCCUUUUCACAUAUAGGCUCUCCAGUAUUUAUUUAUUUAUUUAGCUGCCUUUAAAAAACGUAUUUAUUUACUUACUGAUUUUUGAGACAGGGUCUCAAUAUGCAGGCUGGCCUUGAAUUUACUUUGUUAGCCCAGGCUGGCCUUGAACUCUCAGUGAUCAUCCUCAGCUUCCAGAAUGCUUGGAAUUACAGGCAUGUGUCAAGAGGCCCAGCAUAAUUUUGGUUUUUAUUAGUACACAUUUGCGGUACACAGUGAUUCCAUUUACCAUAGGGAGUUGGCACAUAUACAUAAUGCAUCUUAAUUCUUUUUACACCUCCUUCCUCUCCCUGCCAUCUCUUGGUCCUUUUUCAAAUGCAGCAUUCCUCAGGCAGUUGCCUAGAAGGAAACAGGAUCCAAGAGGGCAUAAUCUGCAAUAAGCAAUGGGAAUCUCUCUGGGGCAGAUGGCAGAGUGGAUGCUGGGGAGGCUGCCCUUUCUGAUUGGUUUAUUGUAUCCUUCUAGCAUUUAUUUUCCAAUUAAUGAGUGUUGGCCACAGAUAUUGGGUUGACCUGAGCUGUAAAAAUCUCCCAAGUUACUCUCACAUGCAGUUGUUUUUUUUUGAUUUCUUGAUAACAGCCAUUCUUUCUGGGGUAAGAUAGAAUCUCAGGGUUGCAUAAAUUUGCGUUUCUUGAAUGACCAGUUAUGCAGAGCAUUUUUUCAUGUAUUUAUUUGCUGUUUGUACUUCAUCUGAAAAAUGUCUGUUCAUUUCUAGGCUGAGUCUUCAAAUUUGGAGAGUGAUUUUUUUUUUUCAGUUCUUUUAGUUCUUUGUGUAUUCUAGAUGUCAGUUGUCUGAGGAGUGAUUGGUAAAAAUUUUUACCCAUUCUGUGGGUUGUCUCUUGAUUCUCUUGGUGAUUACUUUUUCUGUACAAAAGCUUUUUAGCCGGGUGUAGUGGCACUCUCCUGUAAUUCCAGCACUUGGGAGGCUGAGGUAGGCAGAUCACUGCAGGUUCAGACCAGCCUGGGCUACAAAGUGAGCACAAGGCCAGCCUGAAUGGCACAGUGAGACCCUGUCUCAAAAAGAGAAAAAAAAAAAAAAAAAAAGCUUUUUAAUUUGAUAUAAUCCCAAAUUGUUGAUUCUUUGUAGUCAACCCUAUGUGAUCAGGGUUUUGUUCAUAAAGUCUUUGCCUCUACCUAUGUCUUUCAGAGUUUAACCUACUAAAUAUAUCUUCCAGCACAUUUAGUGUUUCUCUUUUAAUAUUUAGAUCUUUGAUCAAUUUUGAGGUACAUGGUAAAUGAUAAGGGUCUACAACCAACCUUCUACACGUGAAUAACUGGUUUCCCUAGCACCAUUUAUUGAAGAGGAUAUCCUUCUCCCAAUGCAUGUUUUUAACCCCUUUGUCAAAGAUCAAAUAGUUGAGUAUGCUUGGGGUUGUUUCUGUGUCCUCUGUUCUGGUCUCUUGAUCCUCAUAAGGCCACUAUCGUGUGUUGAUCUCAAGCAGCUGAUCCUUUUGUAGUAUAGACAAAGUCAGUUUACCUGGCUCAUUCAUUCACAAAUGGGUCACGGAUCCAUUCCUUUUUAGUGUAGGAGUCAUUUUGUAGUUGAGAAGCUUUGUGGUGUAUAUGCAGUGUCCCCCCAAAUUCUUAUCUGGCUGAAAGGUGAUUGGAUUAUGGAAGCACUGUAUUCAUCAGUAGAUUCAUCGACUGAGUUCAGUAGCUGAAUGGGGCCCUAAUUGAAGGUGGUCACUGGAGGGAGGGCAUACCCUUCAGCUUCUUACUUAUUUCUCUGCUUCCUGGUUGCCAUUGGUUGAGUGUCUUUUCCUUUGCCAUGCCCCUCCAACGUCCUGUUUUGCUUUGAAUCGUGCUGACCAUGGACUGAAACCAUGAGCCAAAGUAAACUUCUCUGCCUUUUGUUGCAGGUGUCGGUAUUGUGUCUCAGUGACAAGGUAACUAAGGUGGGAAGUAAUGCUCAAACUCUUAAAAGUGGAGAUUGGUGAUCAUGUACCAGCUGGAAGAAAGAAGGCCUUUGAUCAUUCUCUUUCAAAGUCUCUGCUAAUACUUAAAAUACAUCAGAAAUUCCAUUGCUCUCUUAAUCUCAGUUUGGUUUUGAACACAGUUACUUUAUCUGCUGAUCUGAAUACAGUUGUCAUUCUCCUCUGAAGUGAUAAAUUGAGGGUUUUUAAAAUAUAUUUUAUCUCAAGGAGAAAAAGAAAAAAAAAGAAGAAAGAAAACUAAAAUAGAAUUUCAAAGCACAUCAAUCAGGGGCAACAAUGGUACAUACAUUGUGCAUUGUCAUCCCCAAAUCAUUCAUCCAGAGCAUAAGACUUCAGCAUUCAAUUGUCCAAACAAUACCAACACAAAUCUUUCUCUUCAGUGAACUCAGAGAAAUCAGUAGUAUAACUAUCUUUAACUAUUUUUUAUAUGCAUAUACAUAUAUAUAUACAUAUGUUGUUUCAGCUUCUCACACUAAUGAGAUGAUGUAUUUACACAUGUGUGUUUUAUUUAUUACACUGAGUAUGGUCUUAAGUUUUAUCCAUUUAUCUAUCAAAAUCUCCAGUUUAUACUUCUUUAUGGCUGAGUAGUGCUCUGUUGUAUAAAAAUACCACAUCAUUUUUUUCUGUUUUCUCAGUGAUGGGCAUUUAGGUUAUUUCCAAGAUAUGGCUAUUACAAAUUGUGCUUCUGUAAACAUGAGUGCACAUAUAUGGCUGUGGUAUGAUGUUUUUAAUUAUUUUGGGAAGAUACCCAAAAGGGGAAUAGCUGGGUCAAAUGGGACCUCUAGUCCUAGUCUUUUGAGGAGUCUCCACAGUGAUUUCCACAGUGGUUGCACCAGUCUGCAUUGCCACCUACAGUAGAGAAGGGUUCCUUUUUCCCCAGAGCCCCUCUAACAUUUGUUAUUGGUUGAUUUUUUAAUACUAGCCAUUCUUUCUGGUGUGAGGUGUACUCUCAGUGUUUUAAUCAUCUCUCAAAUAACCAGUGAUGUCAAACAUUUUUUCACAUAUUUAUUUGCUGUUUGCAGUUCUUCAUCUGGGGUGUUUAUUCAUUUCAGAUAGCCAUUUUGGAUUGGGUUUUUAAAUCUGGAAGGAUUAUCUGGGCAUGGUGGCUUAUGCCUGUAAUCCUAACAUUCAAAAGGCUGAGACAGGAGGAUUGUUGGAGUUCAAGACCAGCCUGGACUACAAAGUAUCCUCAAGGCCAGCAUAGUGAGACCUAGUGUCAAAAAGACAAAAAAAAAAAAAAAAAAAAAAAAUCUGGGAGGACUGAUUUUUUUUUUUUUAAAGUUCUUUGUAUGUUCUUGACAGUAAUCCUUUGAGGUACAGUUAUUUUCUCCCACAUAAUGAGUUGUCUCUUUACUCUGUUGGUCGUUUCUCUUGCUGUGCAAAAGCUUUUCAGUGAGGUGAGAUCCCAGGAGUUUAUUCUUUGUGAUAGUUCUGUGCAGUCAGGGUUUUGUUCAUAAAGUCUUUGCCUAUACUAGUGUCUUCAAGAGUUUUACCUACUCUAUCUUCCAGCAGAUUUCAUGUUUCUGUUUUAAUAUUAGCAUCUUUAAUCAAGUCUGAUUUUAUCUUAGUACAUAGUGAAAGAUGCAGGUCCAGUUUUAAUGUUUCACAUGUGUAGAGCCAGGUUUUCCAGCCCCAUCUAUUAAAGAGGCUUUCUUUCGUUCAGUGAAUGUGUUUGGCACCUUUGUCAAAGAUAAGAUGGUUUAGUGUAUCGUCAAUUGUUUCUGCAUCUUCUAAUCUGUUCCAUUGAUCUUUGGGUCUUGUUUUUGUUUUGUUGUUGUUGUUGUUUUGCAGGACCACACUUUUUAUCACAGUAGCUUUAUAGUAUAAUUUCAAGUCAGAUUGUGAUAGCCCCUGUCUUGUAUUUUUUGCCCAGAUUCCCUUCUCUAUUCUAUAUCUCUUCUGGUUCCAGAUGAAUUUUAGGAUUGCAGUCUCUUAAUUCUGUGAGAUAUGCUACUGGAAUUUUGAUUGGAAUUACAUUGAAUCUGUGUAACAGUUUUGGAAGUAUGACCAUUUUCACCAUAUUGGUUCUUCCUACCCAAGACCACAGGAUAUUUCUGCAUUUUCUAAUACCCUCUUCAAUCUCUUUUUUUCAGAGUGCUGUAGUUCUCAAUUUAGAGGUCUUCUAUGGUUUGUUAGAUUGAUUACUAGGUAUUUCUUUUUUUUUUUUUUUUUUGGAAUGCUAUUAUAAAAGGUAUUGUUUCCCUGAUUUCUCUCUCAGUGAGUUUGUUAUUUGUGCACAGGAAGCCUAUUGAUUGUUGAGUGUUGACUUAGAAUUUAGAUUUUUAAGCAAAUUCUAGCUACUUUACUGAAUUUGCUUAUUAAAUCUAGUAGUCUUUUGGUGGAGUUUUUGGGGUCUUCUAAGUAGAGUAUACUCAUCAGCAAAGAACGAUAGUUUAACUUUUUCCUUUCCUAUCUUUACUGUUUUUAUUUCUUUCUCUUGUCUAAUUGCUCCUGCUAAAAUUUCAGGACUGCAUUGAAUAAGAGUGGAGAUAGUGGACAUCCUUGUCUUGUUCCCGAUUUUAAAGAGAAAGCUUUCCGUUUUUGUCCAUUUAAUAUGAUGUUGUUGGUUUGUCAUAAAUGGCUUUUAUCAGAAUGAGAUAAAGACCCAUGUUUUCCAAUUUUGUGUAGGGUUUGUAUUAUGAAUGGGUUCUGGACUUUGUCAAAAAGUUUUUUUGUAUCUAUGAAGAUGAUAUGAUUUUUGUCCUUCGCUCUAUUAAUAUGAUGUAUUGCAUUUAUGGAUUAACGUAUGUUGAACCAUCCCUGCAUCCUUGGGAUGAAUCCCACUUGAUGUACAAUCUUCAUGAUGAUUUGCUGCAGUCUGUUUGCCAGUAUGUCACUGAGAAUUUUUGUAUAAGUGUUCUUUUUUUUUUUGGUCUUUUUCGGUACUGGGGAUCGAACUCAUGACUGCCUGGUUGCAAGGUAGGCGCUUAUGCCGCUGAGCUAAAUCCCCAGCCCCUGUAUAAGUGUUCUUUAGGGAGAUUGGCCUGUAAUUCUCUUUCAUAGUUGAGUCUUUCUCUGGUUUUGGUAUCAGGGUAAUGCUUGCUUCCAGGAAUGACUUUGUGAGUAUUGCUUCCCUUUUAAUUUCAUUAAUGGUUGAAUAUGUUUGGCACUCAAUCUGAAGCAGUGCAGAGAAAAUGAGAGAUAAGAAGGAGACAAAGGAGCAGGCCUUUAAUGUGGGCGUGGAGAGCUUCAUGGGGCAGGUGGUACAGAUGCUCUCACAAAGAAGUGGGACUACUUUUAUCAAUUUAGGCUGUGGGAGGAGUUUUAACCACUGAUUUGUCUUUUUUUUUUUUUUUUUUUUUUUUUGCCACACCAAUUCAGUUCUGAUGAUUUGUCUUUUUGAGACAGGGUCUUACUAUGCAGUUCAGGCUGGCCUUGGGCUCACUUUGUAGCUCAGCCUGGUCUCGAACUCGCAACGCAACGAUCCUCCUGCCUUAGCCUCCCGAGUGCUGGGAUUACAGGUGUGAGCCACCACGCCCAGCUCUUAACUGCUGAUUUGAAGGAGCAUCUCCUGUGUAAGUCAGGAGACAAAUUUACUGGGGAAUGAAGGUAGAGGCUUAGGUAGUUGUGGAGACUUGGGAUUGGAAAGGACUUGGUGCACAUGCAAAAAGGGAGCGGGAGGUUUAUCUCUGGAAUGAUAUGGGGAACAUAGAAGGUACUGUUGGAGAGAUAAGUUGUUUCUCUGGGUGCAGCACCAAGUUGAGAGGAUGUAGCUAAACCUCUUUGAAGAGUUUGAGAAGUAGUGGUGUUAGGUCUUCUAAAUUUCUUGUGGAAUUCAGUAGUGAAUUCAUUAGGGCCUGUGCUUUUCUUUCUUGAUAGGUUUUUAAUUACAUGUUUAAUUUCAUUUAUUGAUAUUGAGUUAUAUAGGAUUUUCAUAUCUUGAUUCAGCUUUGGUAACUCAGGUGUAUCUAGGAAUCUGUCCAUUUCUUCUGUUUUCCAUCUUAUUAGAAUACAAGUUUUCAAAGUGUAGAUAUAUAAUUGAUUUUUGGAUCUCUGCAGGGUCUGUUGUGAUUCAUUCCUAAUUGUGUGCUUUUGAGUCUUUCUUUCCCUUUUUUUUUUUUUUUUGAUAAGAUUGGCUAAGGGUUUGUCUAUUUUAUUUAAUCUUUCAAAGAACCAACUCUUUGAUUCAUUGAUUCUUUGUAGUUUUUAGUCUCCAGUGUGUUCAUUUCUGCUCUGAUCUUUAUCAUUUCCUCCCUUAUACAUGCUUUUGGAUUAGCCUGCUUUUCUUUUUCUAGAAGUUUGAGGUGCAACAUUAAGUUGUUUAUAUUUGCUCUGUUUUCCUGAUAUGGAUAUUAACUGCUAUAAAUUUCCCUCUUAAGACUGCUUUCAUUGUGUCCCACAAGUUCUAGUAGUGUAGUCAUUAUCAUUCAACUGUAAAGACUGUCUUAAUUUCUUCUUUAAUUUCAUCUGUAACCUGUUGGUGUUCAGUAGGGUGCUAUUUAAUUUCCAUGUGUUUAUGAAGUUCUUGUAGUUUCCUUUGGCUUGGAUUUUCAAUUUCAUUGCACUGUAGUCCGAUAGUAUGCAGGGUUAGAUAAGAUAAUUUCAGUUUCUUGCAUUUACUUAAGCGUAUUCUAUGAGCCGUUAUAUAGUCUGGUUUAUGUUUUUGUUUUCAUUUUUUUGUUUGUUUGUUUUCUGGUAUGAGUCAAGAACUCACAAUCUUGCUCUUGCUAGGCAAGCUCUUAUGCCGCUGAGCUGAAUCCCUGGCUAUGGUCUGUUUUGGAGAGUGUCCCAUGUGCAGCUAGGAAUGUGUAUUCUGAUGUUGUGGGAUGAAACACUCUAUAGACAUCUGCUAAGUACAUUUGUUCACAAGUUUGAUUUAGCCAGCCGUGGUGGCUCAUGCCUCUAAUUUCCGCACUUGGGGGGCUGAGGCAGGAGGAUCGAUGGGAGUUUGAGACCAGCCUGAGCUACAAAGUUGAGCUCAAGGCCAGACUGAACUGCAUAGAGAGACUCGGUCUCCGGUAAAAGAAAAGUUUGAUUUAGUUCUAGUAUUUCAUUAUGGAUUUUUUUUGUCUAGUUGAUCUGUCUUUUUGUGACAGUGGGGUGUUGAAGUCUCCCAAUACAGUUGUAUUAGGCUUUAUUUGAUUUUUCAUGUUUGUUAGUAAUUAUUUUUUGUAGUUGGGUGCACUAGUAUUUGUUGCAUAUAUAUUGAUAAUUGUUAUCCCUUCCUCUUGGAUUGUUCCUUUUAUGAGGAUGCAGUGACUUUCUUUAUUUUUCUUAAUCAGUUUUGGCUUGAAAUUCACUUUGUCUGCUUUUUUCUGGGUUCCUGUUACAUGUAGUGUUGUUUUCCAUCCUUUGACUUUCAGUCUAUGAAUUUCUUUUUGACUUAAAUGUGUUUCUUGGAUGUAGCAUGUUGUUAGGUCUUGCUUCUUGACCCAUUCUCCAGUCUGUCUCUCUUGACUGGGGAACUGAGACCAUUACCCUUCAUGAUUAUAACCAAUAGGUAUUGACUUAUCCUUGUCAUGUCGUUGGCUCCCCUGUUUUUUUCCCCUCCCUCUAAUUGUUUGCCUUCCCUGGUGGAUUCCUUCUGUUGGGGUUCAUGGAGCUGUAGUCCUUAUUAUCUCUUUAUAGAGUGUCCUUCAGAACAUUUUGGAGUGCUGGUUUGGUGGUCAUAAAUUUCCUCAGAUCUUCUUUUUCAUCUUAUUUGAAGUAUCUUAUUUCUCCAUCAAGUUUGAAAGAUAGUUUUAUGGGGUACAUCAAUCAGAAUUGAAAGUUGUUUUCUUUUAGAAUUUGGAGUACUUCACUUCAAGUUCUCCUUGACUUGAGAGUUUGUGCUGAGAAGUCAGCUGUAAUUCUGAUGUGCUUUCCUUUAUGGAUGAUUUGUUUCUUUUUUGUAACAGCUUUUAGGAUUCUAGGCUCGUGUUGAAUUUCUGGAAUCUUGACUAUGAUAUGCCUGGCUGUAGAUUUUUUUUUUGUCUUUUUCCUUUUUAUCGGUACUGGGGAUCGAACUCACGAAUGCCUGCUUGCAAGGCAGACGCUUAUGCCGCUGAGCUAAAUCCCCAGCUCCAAAAUUUUUUUUUUAAUUGCUAAUUGAAGUUCUAUAUGCCAUGUUUAUUUGUAUGUCAAAUUCUUUUUCUCUACCAGGAAUGUUUUCUGUCAUGAUGUCUGUGAACAUUAUUUUAGUGUCAUCUGUGGCAUCUCCUGCUUUUUCAUUGACUCCAAGCACUCUUAAGUUAUUCUUCUUUGUCUCAUCUAGCAGCUGCUGGAUUGAUUUCUCAUGGUCCCUUGCUAUUUUGAGAAAUCUUUCUUUUCUCAGUUGCUAACUGCAAGCCUGUCUUCAGUAUCUGAGAUCCUGUCCUCACAUUGGCCUAAACUGCUUCUAAUACUUUAAAUGGAGAUUUUAUUCUCCUAGAUAUCUAAUUGAAUCUGCUUUAUGGAUUCCAUUUCUUUCCUAUGCUGUGCUUUCAUAAUUUUCUUAAGCUUGUCUAUUUUUUUGUCUGUGUCUGCUUUAACAUCGCUAAGCAUGUUGUGUAUUUUGUAUUUUGAGAGGUUAUUUCUUUUUUUCUUUUUCUUUUUUUUUUUUUUUUUUGUCUUUUUCAUUUUUAUCGGUACCAGGGAUCGAACUCACGACCGCCUGCUUGCAAAGCAGGUGCUUAUGCCGCUAAGCUAAAUCCCCAGCCCCUGAGAGUUUAUUUCCGAUUUCAUUUUUUCAAGUCUAAUUCAAUUGCAUUAUUGUUACAACAUCAGUGAGACUUGGUGGGUACUUUUGGAUUGACCCACCUCAUUGCUUCCUGGGUUUGCCAUUGGUAAACUGGAUGUUUGAGGUUGCAUCAAGUGUCUUCUCAUUUCUUCUUUUUUUUAGUUUAAUUCCUGGGGUGAUGCUUAUAAGUUGCCUGUGGUGGGUUACUUUAUGGCUAGCAUUUAGGCCUCUUACGUGUUGAUUACUUCUCUGAGGUAGCUUCUAGGUGUAUCUGGUUUUUGGGUUUUGAGUCUGUCAGAAGAUUUUACCUCUUCAGUUUGUUGGAGAUAAGAAGUUGUUGCUUGUUUGAUCUAGUCUCUAGUACUUUGGCACUGUGCUACCAUAUUUUUUGUAACCCUUAAUUAAUCUCAGCCAUGGAAUACCAGGACUAACAGGUGUUUAGAACAGUUAUUUGGAGCCGGGGAUUUAGCUCAGUGGUACAAGCACCUGCCAGGCAAAUGCCAAGUCAUGAGUUCGAACGCUGGUACAAAAAAAAAAAAAAAAAAAAAAAAGUUGUCUCAAUUUUGGGACAGCUUCUCUGGUAACAAUCACAUCAAACACAAACUGAGCUAAGCCUUAAUAUGCAAGCUUUAACCCUAUGAACUGGACUUGUGAUUAUAUAACAAAAUGUAAAACAAACCAGAUAAUUAAUACAAUAUGUAAGUCCAUAUCAGUUUUGCCCUCAGGAGUUCAAAUUUAAAAUGAAGGAGAAAAUAGAGAAGUGGAAGAAGAGGAAGAGAUUAGAAGUAAGAUUGGAGGACAACGGGGAUCACACCAACCUGAGGUAACUGGUGCAGAAGACUGAAGGAAAAGAGAAAUGGGAGAGAUAAGAGGAAGAACAGCAGAACCACACUCACAAAGAGUUGUUGCCUAUAUUCUCGAACUUGGGACUAUCAAGCAAAACAGAACAGAGGGAAAUCAGUUGAAACAGGAUGGUGAGAGCAAUACAGAAUUUCAAAUCAAGUUAACAGGAAAUCAAAGUGGUUUACUAUAAUAUAUCCUGCUAUUUUUAAAAAAAUUUUUCCCUUAAUUAAAAAAAUAAAAAUAAAUAAUAAAAAAAGGAGAUUGAGAUAAAAGAGGACAUAACAGCAAAACAGCACAGGUCAAAACAUAACCAUUUAAGCAAAAUAGUGUUUCCUGAUAUCCCGACAUAAAAGUAGUUACCAUAGUGAGUAUAAGUUCAUAUACUCUAGCAUCAAACAUACCAAGACAGUGUAAAACCAUUCAAGAGAAUGACAGUAUUACAGGGUAUUUAGAACCAACUAACAGAAAAUGAACGAUGGUUUCUGUAUAAUCUUGUCUAUAAAAGUUUUUGUUUAUAUUAUCACAUAUAAUAAAAUCCAAUAAUAUACAACAUGUUAAGAUUGAUGGAGACAGAAGAACAAAAGCUUGAUGGGACUUCAAAACAAGAUGAUAUUAAAUCAGUACUAGCUAUUAUGAUGUCUUGUUUUCUCCAAAAUAGCUGUUCCUACCAUCCAGCCUUCUCUGCCUCAUUUCUGUUGAGCUCUUUUUAUGUCAUUAGUUGUCAGUUUGUCUUCUUCAUUUUGAUUUCUGCUCCAUUCAUUGUAGCCUGUCUUUCACUGUUUCUGGAAUAUUGGUAUUUUCCUUUUUUAGAAUAUCCUGCAGUAUUCUCUGUAGAGUUGAAUUGGUGGUUGCAAAUUCCCCUAGUUCCUCUUUAUCCUGGAAGCACCUUGUUUUUCCAUCAAUUUCUAGGGACAGUUGUGCAGGAUAUAUCAAUCUUGGCUGGAGGUCAUUAUCUUUCAAAGCUUGAAUUAUUCCCCCCCCCACGCUCUUCGUGAUUUGAUGGUUUGUGCCGAGAAGUCUGCUGUAAUUCUGAUGGGUGUUCCCUUGUAAGUGAUCUGUUUUUUGUUUUUUGGGUUUUUUUUUGUCUUUUUCAUUUUUAUUGGUACCAGGGAUUCAACUCACGACCACCUGCUUGCAAGGCAGGUACUUAUGCUGCUGAGCUAAAUCCCCAGCCCGUGAUCUGUUUCUUGUCUCUGACGGCUUUUAAUAUUCUGUUCUUAUAUUGGAUUUCAGGAAUUUUGAUUAUUAUAUGCCUGGGUGUAUUUCUGUUUGGGUUGUAGGUGGCUGGGGUCCUGUAUGCCUCAUACAUCUGGGUAUCUUUACCUUUUGCUAAAUUAGGGAAAUUCUCCUGGAUUAUUUCUGUGAAUAGCCUUUGUAGUUCAUUUGUUUGUGUCUCUACUUCUUCUUUUGCGUUCUUAAUUCUUAAGUUAUAGAUCCUCUUAUCUUCUAGCCUUUGUAUUAUUGCUGCUUGUUUUCUUGUUAUUUUUAAGAAGUUUUUCAUUUCAUGCUCCCACAUUACAAAUCUGCCCUCCAGUUCAGAUAAUGUCGUUAGUUUCUUUCAAGCUGUUAUGCCAGCUUUCAAUAGAGUUUUUAGUUUCCUAAUAAUCUCUUUGAACCUGCUUCACGUAUUCUGUUUUCUCUACCCCUUUUUUUUCUGUUCUUCCAUUCCACCAUCUGUUUUUUCUUGGGUGGUGCUUAGCAUUUCUCUAACUAUUCUACUUAUAUCUUGCUUUAGGUCAUUAAAUACUUCACUUUUGAACUUGUCUAUGAGGCUCCGGAGAUAUCGCUUUAUGUCUAUUGGUGCCGUGUCUGAUAUAGCAUUUUUUCUGUCCUCAUUCUCCUUUGCAUUUCCCUUUCCUGGAUCAGUGUUUUCAGGAUUGGGGGCUGAGGACCCUUUCUUGUUGCUCCCUCUUCCCAUACUUUUUGUUAUUUCCAUACAGGUGUACAUAGGAGGCCCAGUUUCUUUCUUUGUUGGUUACAGUUUGUGUGAAUCUGCCAGCGAGGUGUUCCCGCCCACUGCAGUGUACUAGGGAGACAGACCUGGGCGGCCUCUGCUGGGUGCACCCCUCCAGGUCGGUCAACCUACUGAAGGCUUCACUGUAUUAGGGUGCACCGCCAGGUGCUGGGACCUGGUUUGGGCUAACCUACUGGGUCUUAGUCCAUGGCGUCACCCAGGUCAGGGCUCCUUACCAAUCCUGCUUGAGAGGGUAAUAUGUGACUAAAGUCACUUGCAGUAUCCUGUUCCGGCUAGUCUGCCCCGUCCCAGAAUGUCCUCUGUUAGAGCCUCUUACUCUAUGGAAGGGUCCCCAUUUCUCUCACUCACUGUAGGUCGAUGCAGGGCUCCCCGCCAGUUUCACUCUCAACUCUGUUCGCCGAUUCCCACUCUCAGAGAUUUUGCCUUUCUGUCCCUGCUGUGCUGAUUCAGAUGAAGCAGCUGCAGCAGGAAAUUCAAAUCACCGCGUGGGUUCCAGCUUCUGCUGAGAUUUUAUCUGUUCCGGUUGUAGCAGCAGGAUUGCAUUUCCAGUUGGUUUUUCUCAGCUUAGUUCGUUCCUGGGUUGGCAGGGUAUAUCUCCCCUUGCUUAGGACUCCUCACACCACACCAUUCCUGGAUUUUCGGCUGGGCAUCUCAGAGAGCCUCCAUAGCUGCUAUUAUCUCUCUGCCAUGUUCUCCCGGAAGUCUCUAGUCCUUUUUCAAAUUUUUUAUUUUACAAAUUAAAAUUUUUUUAUUAAGUUGCUACGUUGAUCAGACUGGCUUGAACUUUUGAUCCUGCCUCAGCUUCCCAGAGUGUUUGGGUUAUAAGCAUGUAUGACCACUUUUCAUGGGCUUAUUGGUCUUUUGUUUCUAUUUGGAGAAAUGCCUAUUGAAAUGCCUUUUCUUUUUAAAUGCAGAUCUAUGUCCAAAUCCCAGCCAUUGCACAUACUGUUGCUUGUUUUUCAUCUGGAUUAUUUUGUUGUUGUAGGAUUCAUUAUGUGUUGUGAAUAUUGAUCCCUUGUGAAAUAUGUGAUUUGCAUUUUUCCCAUUCUUUAUUAGUAUGUUAACGUGAUACAUAGUACAUAUGUUCAUUGUAGGGGAAUUGGGAUGCCUGCAUAUUGCAUCUUGAUCCUUUCCUUUCCUUCUUCUCCUUUCCUUCCCUCCUAUUCUCCCACCCCAGGUUCCCUUCCAUCCUUUCAAAGAAUCAACUCAUUGAUUCCUUGAUUGUUUAUAUUGUUUUUUUCAGUUUCAAUUUCAUUACUUUUCACUCAUUUAUAAUUUUCUUCCUUGUAUUAGUUUCAGAUUUAGACUGUUGUUUUUCUUGGUCCUUGACAUGCAUCAUUAGGUUAUCUGUUUGGGACUACUCUUACUUUAUGUGUACAUUUACAGAUAUGACCUUCCUUCUUAGACCUGCUUUCAUCAUGUUCUGUAGGUUUUGAUAUGUUGUACUUCACGUCAUUUGCUUCUAGGAACAUUUUUAAAAAUUACUUUUUCUCUGAUUUCUUUUGUGAUCCAUUGAUUGAUUACUCAGGGUUUUUUUUUUUGUUUGUUUGUUGGUUUGUUUGUUUGUUUUGUGGUACUGGGAAUCAAACCCAGCCUUGCGCUUGACAGGCAGACGCCUUUACCACUGAGCUAAAUCCCCAGCCCUCUCAGUUUUUCUUUUUGGUUUUUUUUCUUUCUUUCUUUCUUUCUUUCUUUCUUUCUUUCUUUCUUUGUAUCGGGGAUUGAACUCAUGACCUCAUGCUUGCCAGGUAGGUGCUUAUGCCACUGAGCUAAACCCACCGGCCUGUUAGUUUUCUUUUUGAGACAGGAUCUCACUUUGUAGCUCAGGCUGGCUUUGAACUCACUAUGUAGCCAAGGCUGAUCUGGAACUCACAGUGAUCCUCCUGUCUCAGCCUCCUAAUUGCUGGGAUUAUAGGCAUGCACUACACCUGGCAGUAAUAUAUUGUUUACAUUCCAUGUGUUUACGUAGUUUUUGUGACAUUUUUUGCUGUUGAUUUCUAGCUUCACUCCACUAUGAUCAGUUAGUAUACAGUGGAUUAGCUCAAGUCUUCUGUAUUUAUUCAAGCAUGCCUUAUGGCUUGAGAUAUAAUCUGGGGCAUGGUGGCACACUUCAUCAAGUUUGAAAGCUACUUUUGCAGGGUGUAAAACUUUGGGUGGACAGUUGUUUUCUUUCAGUGCUUAAAAAACUUCAACUUCAGACUUUCCUGAUCUUUAUUCUGAUGGCCUUGCCUUUAUAGAUUACUUGUAUUACUUGCUGUUUUUCUCUAACAGCUUUUAGUAUUCUCUCUUCUUGUUGAGUUUCUGGAGUUUUGGUUAUGAUGUACUGUAGAGAGGUUCUUUUCUGGUCAUGACUAUGCAGAGUUCUAGAUGCCUCUUGUACUUGAAUAUUGAAUUUUUUUCCCUAAUUUUGGGAAAUUUUCUGCUGUGAUUUUCAGUGAAAAAAAUUUUAAUGCUCUGAGUCUUUUUUUUUGUUUGUUUGACACAGGAUCUCACUAUGUAGUUGAGGCUGGCCUUGAACUCACUAUAUAGGUUGGCCUUGAACUCACAGGAGUACUCUUGCCUCAGCCUCUUAGGUGCUGGAAUUACAGGCAUGUGCGACCAUACCUAGCUACUGAGUCAUCUUCUAAAUUUCCUUUAUCCCAAUAAUUCUGAGGUUGGGUUUUUAUGUUUUUUGUUUUGAUUUGUUGGGGUGUUUUGCUGUUUGUUUGUUGAGUCAUAUAACAGCUCUUUAAUCUAGCUUGUCUGGUGUCAUGGCAUCUUUAAGAGUAGCAUAGAGAUUCUGACCUACUACAUGCAUAUUUUCUUAUAUUUCUGGCACUCUGUCCUCAUGUUGCUUUCAUUUUAAAUCUUUGCUUUUCACUGAAUUUUCCAUAUCAUGGAUCUCUGCUUGCUUUCUUUUUAUGCUAAUUCUUUUCCAAGUGGUCAUUCAAGUUUUGUCUUGCUUAACUCGGUUUACUGUUUAUCUCUUCGUUAAGCUUGUCAAGCAUUUUAUGGUAAAAAUACCUUAUCUGUUCAGCCAGAUUCUCUUUGGGCUUGUUAAAACAACUUAUAUAUUUGCUUAUUAUUUCUUCUUUUAUCUUUUCAAAGAUUUUUCCAAUUGGGUUUUGAGUUCUUUACCUAGGACUUCUACUUCAGUGUCAGUUGUUUUCUUACAAAUCUCCAUUCCAUGUAUUUUACCAGCUGUAUCCUACCAUCCUCAUUACCAUUCUUUUUCACCAUUCCUAUAAUUCAUGAACAUAGGAUGAUUUGCAAAUACUUUCCUCUAUUCUUUGGGGUUGUCUUUUUUUCUUCUCUGUCUUUCUACUUAGUAUCUUUUGAUGCAAGACAUUUUUAGUUCAGGUUAUCUGUUGUCUCUUUUAUUGCUUGUGCUUUUGUUACCAAAUUUAAGAAACCAUUAAAGCUGGGCAGCGUGGUAGCUCACGCCUGUAAUCCCAGCAUUUGGGAGGCUGAGGUAGGAGGAUCUUUGUGAGUUCAAGACCAGCCUAGGCUACGAAAUGAGCUCAAGGCUAGCCUGAACUGCAUAGAGAGACCCUGUCUCAAAAACAAAGAAAGAAAGAAAAGAAACCAUUGCUUCAUUCAAGUUAUUAGGAUUUUCAUCUGUAUUUUUUUCUAAAAGUUCACUCUUAAAUUUAAGUCUUUGAGAAGGAUAUGAUGGCAUACACCUGUAAUUCCAGUUAUCUGGGAGGCUAAGACAAGAUCACAAAUUUAAUCCUAUCAUGGGCAAUUUAGCAAUUUAGUGAAACUGUUUCAUAUUUUUCAAAAGUCUGAAGUUAUAAGGAGUGUAAAGUCCUUGGAUAAAUCUGCAGUGCCGGGAAAAAAUAGGUCUAUGAUUCAUUUUUAUACAUUGUAUUAGGUAAGGAUCCACUCUCAGUCUUUUAGAUAGGGAUUACUGAAUCUUUAUUACCUGAAGUUAUUGAAGAGAUGGUUCUUUCAUGUGCUGAAUGGUUUUAGUAAUCUUGUCAAAAUCAUUUGACUACAUUAAGGAUUUAUUUCUGAGCUUGUUGUUUCUUCCAUUUGGUCUGUAUGUCUAGCCUUGUGCCAGUAUCAUACUAUUUUGAUUACUGUAGCUUUGUGGUAAGUUUGAUAUUAGGAAGUGAUGGUUUUCCACCGUUUGCUUUUCUCUGUCAAGAUUGUCUAAUGGCCAGACAUGGUGGUACACACCUGUAACCCAGCACUUGGGAGGCUGAGGCAGGAGACUCACUGUGAGUUCAAGGCCAGCCUGGGCUUUGUAGUGGAUUCAAAGCCAAUCUGAACUACAUAGCAAGACCCUGUUUCAAAAAAAAUAAAAAAUAAAAAGAUUGUUUUGUUUUUUUUGGUCUUUUUCCUUUUUAUCGGUACCGGGGAUCGAACUCAUGACUGCCUGCUUGCAAGGCAGGCACUUAUGCUGCUAAGCUAAAUCCCCAGCCCCUGAUUGUUUUGUGUUUUAAGUCUGUGUGAAUUUUGGGAUCAGCCUGUCCAUUCUAAAAGAAUAUUAAGAUCUUUUUCAUUCUUUUUUUUCUUUUCUCUGUAUUUUUUGUUUUUGUUUUGUACAGGAGAUCAAACCUAGGGCCAUGUGCAUGCUAGGUACAUCUCAGAAGAAUGAGCUCCUGCCCCAGUAUGGCAGUUGGAAUUUUGAAAGAGAUUGAAUGGAAUGUAUACAUCAGUUUGGGGUCCAUUGCUGUCUUAACAUUAAGUCCUAUAAUUCAUGAGCAUAGGAUGACUUUCCCUUUAUUUAGUUCUUUAAUUUCUUACAGCAGUAUUUUGUAAUGUCCUGGCUGGCCUUGAACUUGCUAUAAAACCCAGGGUGUGCUUUUACUCACAAUCUUCCUGCCUCUGCCUCCCAAGUGUUGGGUUUACUGGUAUGUGUCACCAUGCCCAGAUUCUUGCACAUCUAGGGUGGGCAGUACUGGGGAUUGGAUUCAGGGUCCUCUCACUGAGCUUCUCAGUUUUUAUUUUGAGAUGGUGUCUCACUGAGUCUCCAGGCUGGGCUUGAACUUGCUAUCCUAUUGCUUCAGCCUCCCAGAAUGCUAGGUUAUAAAGGCGUGCCACCAUGUCCAGGUCUUGCCACCAUACCUGAUUUUUGUGUGUUCUUGAUUAAAUUUCUAAGUAUUUAAUUCUUUACUUAAAUUUUUUUUUAAUUUAAAAGAUAGUAAAACAACAAAACAAAGCCAAUCAAGAUAAUGCAGUGAAACUGGUACAGAACUUCAGAGCAGGAUAUGGGGAUAACAAUAAUAGAUACCAUAGUAUAUCUUGUUAUCUUCACAAUAGUUGUCCGUUCAAUCAGGUAUAGCACAGUCAAACCAAAAACAGAAUACUAUAAAACCAAUCAGAACAGAAUAUUGAAUAGAGCAAAACAAUCAGAACAAAGCAAAACAGUGAAAAGAAUAUUGGCCUUCAAAGACAAGAUAGAAGGAAAUCAUCCAUAUUUGCUAUGUUGCAUACUGUCAUUUUCCCAAGAGAUGCUCAGACCUCUGACCCCAGGUCAGCAUAAUCAACCAAACCGUAUAAGCAUUUAGUUGCUUUAUGUAGCUUAGUUGCUAUUAAUUCUAGCAACUGACCUCAAAACCAUAGUUGCUGGGGUGGGCCGGGGGGAGUGCAGGGGGCCAUGGAAUGUUUGAUUCUCAGCCCACACACCAGUAGACUCACAGGAGACACUGAUUUAUUCUCUCCCUGGGACGUCCGUGGCUCACUUGUGCCACUUACCAGGAAGGAUGGCUCAUUGUUCUCUUGGCUGUUCCCCCAAGUUCCAGCAUGGCUGAUUCUUGGGAGAUGCUAACUUGUUCUCUCCCUCUUUGAUGCUAUUAAAAUGGAAUAGUUUUUUAAAAAUUAUAUUAGAUCAUCCAUUGCUAGUAUAUAGAAAUAUAACUGAUUUUUGUAUGUUGAUUUUGUGGGUUUUGCUCAAUUUUUUUAUUAGUUCUGCUAGGAUUGUAUUUUAUUUAUGAUUUUCUAUAUAUAUGAUCAUGUCAUCUCUGAAUAGAGAUAACUUGACUUCUUCAUUUCCAGUUUGGUGGCUAUUACUUCUUUUCCUUGCCUAAUUGUCCUAGCUAGAAUAAAAACAGCAAGAGCAAAUACCCUCGCUUUCUUCCUGGUCUUAGGAAAAGCUUUCCUUCUUCACCACUGAGUUGAUGUUACUUGUGGUUCUCCAUAGAAGCCUCCUAGUCAAGGGUUGUGUUCCUAGUUUCUGUUCCAUGUGUGUUUGCCAUGCAAGAGUAUUGGAUUUUUUUUUUCAAGUGCUUUUUUGGAUUAAUAGAGAUGAGCAUGCUUUCACUAAUGUGGGGUAUUACACUGGAUGAUUUUUUUUUCCUUUUUAAAAUUUUAAACAGAAUAGAACCAAAACAAAACAGAGUAAAGUCAAUCAAAACAAAGCAGUGAGGGUACAGAACUUCAGAACAGGAUAAUAGGAAAUCAGCAGUGACUACCAUAGUAUACCUUGCUAUCUUCACAGUAGUUGUCCAUUACCAGCAGACAUAUCAAAAUCAAACAACACAGUAAAAUCAGUCAAAACAGAAUAUUGAAUAAAACAAAACAGUAAAACAAAAUAAAACUGAGAAUAGUACCACACAUUGCUAGCUUCAAAAUAGUUGUUCACAGGGGCUGGGGAUUUAGCUCAGUGGCAUAAGCACCUGCCUUCAAGCAGAAGGUUGUGAGUUUGAUCCCUGGUACCGGAAGAAAAAAAAAAAAAAAAAACCCAGCAACAAAAUAGUUGUUCACAUUGCUAGACACUGGGAUAAAACAGAACAGUAAAAUAGAACAAAACAUGGAAUUUCAAAAACAAGAUAGGAGGAAAUCCCCUACCAUUGCCACAGUGCACACUGCCAUCCUCCAAGUAGAUGCCGAGACCACCUGCCCCAGGCCUGCAGAGUCAGCCACACAGUAAACAUCAAGCUCUUCCCUUCCCUCAGGUGCUGGUGCUAUUGUCUCACCCUGAGGUUUGGGGGAUGCUGUUCUGGUUUUUCAGCCGGCACACCAGCUGGCUCACGGGAAGGCGUGGUUCCUCUUCUGGCCACUUUCCAGAUCAGCAUGGCAGAGCCUGCUGCCUGGGAAAGCCUACAUUGAAUGGUUUUGAUGUGUUGAGCCACCCUUGGAUUCUGGGAUUAACCACACUGAGUCAUGGUAUAUAAUCCUUCUACUAUGAUGCUGUAUUUAAUUUGCUAGGAUUUAUUGAAGAUGUUCAUGUGUAUAUUCAUAAGGGUAGUGUGUAGGUUUUUUAUUGUUUGUGUUUAUUUUUGUUUUUGUUUUUGAAGUACUGGGGAUUGAUUCCAGAUCUGUGUAGGCAAGUGCUCUACUACUAAGCUACACACCCCCGGCCUUGUUCUGUAGUUUUUUCUUAGGAUGUCUUUUCUAGCUUGGUAAUUAAGGUAAUACUGGCCUCAUCAAAUGAAUUAGGACAUUUUCUCUUUUUUAAGUUUUUUUCUAUUUUGAGACAGAAUCUUGCCAUGUACUUCUGCAGUGGCAAGCAAAAACACCAAAACAACAGCCAGGAUUUGGAGGUAAAUGUAUUUAUGUCCACGGGCACUGAUUGGGAUCAUUCCCAGAAUAUCAGGCACUGAUCUCUGGUGGUCUAGGGCUUUUAUAUGAUGCACAAGCAAGAGCUACCAAGGAGCUACAAGGCAAGACAGAACAGCCUGGCAGUUCUUCUGAUCAGCUAGCAGGAUAAGAUCGUCGCUUACAAGGGUAGAUUAAUGAUCAUCAGUUCAUGAAGUUUGGUACAGUGGUACAGUCAGGCUUCCUGUAUGUUUAGUUACACUCUCAUGUUUACAGGGGUUAAGAAAGUGAUGACACAACCAUGAAGCAGUUACAGAACUAGGCAGUUUCAAAUGAAUAAAGUUUUAAAAAGAAUAAUUUGUCUUGUACAGUUUUUCCCUGUCACUUCAGGUUGGCCUCAAAUUCACAGUGAGUCUCCUAUCUCAGUCUCCCAAUUGCUGUGAUUACAGGUAUGCACCACCACAUCCAGCUUCCUCAGUUUUUUAAAAGAAAAGUUUGAGAAGUUUUGGUGUUGGUUCUUUAAGCAUUUCUUUUCUUUCUUUCUUUUUUUUUUUUUUUUUUUUUUUUUUUUUUUUUUUUUUUGGUGGUGCCGGGAAUUGAACUCCUGGCCUUGCACUUGCCAGGCAGGCGCUUAUAGCACUGAGCUAAACCCCCAGCCCAUAGCAUUUCAUAGCUAGGCUGGAGUUACAGUUCAGUGGUAGAGUGCAUACAUAGUAUUUUGAAGACCCUAGAUUUGCCCUCAUCUCUAUCUCUUUCCCUCUCCCUCUCUCUCUUGUCUCUGUCUGUCUGUCUCUCUCUUUCACACACACACAUACACAGAAGACUUCACUGUAAAGUCAUCUGUCCGGGACUUUUUGUUAAGGUUAGAAGUUUUUCAUUACUGAUUCAAUUUCCAUGUUAUAGGUCUAUUUAGAUUUUCUAUUUCUUAUGUCUGUUUUGGUAGUUUAGAAGUUUCUAGAAAUUUGUCUGUUAUCUAAUUUGUUGGCAGUGUAUUCUCUCCUGAUUUAAGCAACUUCUUUUUCUUUCUUUUUUGAUGGUACUCGUGGGGAUUAAACCAAGGGCUUCAAAUAAACUAUGCAAAUGCUGUAAUGCUGAGCUAUAAUGCCAGACUGUUUUUAAAAUUUUUCUUUUUGAAGCUGGGCAUAAUGGCACCCUUGCCUGUCAUUCUAGCCCUGGGGAGACUGAGGUGGAAGACUUGCAAGUUUAAAUUCCAGCUAGGCAAAUUGACUUGACUUAAAAUCAAAAGGCUGGGGAUGUAGCUCAGUGAGUCGAGGUUCAAUCCCCAGAACCACCAUUAAUUAUUAAUUAUAUUUAUGAGUUAAGGUCUCACUAAGUUGCCCAGGCUUGCCUUGAACAUGCAAUCCUCUUCAGCCUGUAGCUGAAGUUACAGGUAUACUUGGCUGAUUUCAGUAAUUUGAAUGUCUUUUCUUUUUGGUCAGUCUAGCUGAAGGUUUGUCAGUUUUGCGCAUCUUUGUUGUUGUUGUUGUCGGGUUAUCAUUCUCUAAUUUCAGUUUCAUUUAUUUCCAUCUAAUCUUUAUUUUCGUUCUUCUUCUGCUAACUUUUAAAACAAAAGAGAUAUAAAGGGAUUUGUCAGGCAAGUUUUUAAAAGUGCGCACUCAAAAAAAUAAAAUGCAGACCCCCAAGAGAGAUGCACUUUAUAGUAUGUAGCUGGGAAUAUUUGUAUGUUUUGGCAUGUGAAAUAUGUGGAAUUUGUGAAUCUAUGAAGGUUUAGACUUAACUUACAGAAAAACAACCAAGGUAGAAAGAUUGUGGCUCAUUUUACAAGUGCAAAGAUGGCUCUCUUUUACUUCUUAAAAGUACAAUUUAUAAAAUGUGAUAUUCCCAGCCAGGCGUGGUGGCACAUUCCUGUAAUCCCAGCAAUUUGGAGGUUGAGGCAGGAGAAUUGCUGCUACUUUGAGGCCAUCCUUGGCUAUAUAGUGAGUGAGUCCAAGGUCAACGUGAACUACAGAGCAAGACCCUGUCUCCAAAAAAUAAAUAAAUAAAUAAAUAAAUAAAUAGAAAAAAGAAAGAUAUUCCCUGUGUCUUUUCUGCCUUCUUUAUUUCUCCUACCCUAUUUCACCCACCCAUCCCCACGCCCUCACGCCCCUGCCUCAUACACACACAAGACUGAUCCCUUAUUUUCAGGGGAUGCAGAGGGGCCAAAGGUCUACCUUCUUCUAGCUGCUGGAGAGAACACUGACCCUGCCAGUCUACUCUGACUGGUCUAAAGGAUACAUAGGAAGAUGGGUCUUAAUUGUUUGGUAAACCAUCAUCAUUUGUUAGUCUGGAGAAGAGGACAAAGACAUCAGCAAGUUCUUGAUGCUUUAACUUCAUUUUAUAAACAUGUUAAACAAGCAAGGGCCGAAAAUUAAAGUAGAAUAUUGGUGAAUAGUUACCCCAGAAGUUUGUAGAAGUCAGACAAAAUUUGUUAGCAUUUUUCAUAUACAAGACAGAGUAUACUUUUAGAUAUACUGCUCAUGUUAUAGUAAGUUUUUUUGGCUUUAGGUUUAUAAUUAUAUAACUAGUUAGAAUUUUCAUUAGCGAAUAUUAUUUAGUGCUGCUUUUUUUAUCCUGUAAAUUGUAAUAGUCUUUUUCCUAAUACUCAGGCUACUCUCAGUGCUUUCAUUGUUGUUAACACCAGAGUUAGGCCACCCAGUCAGAAGGAGAGAAGAGAUGCAGAUUGCUGCUGGGAUCUUUGCUCAUUUUCUCUCCUUACAGAAACAAGUUUGAGGGGGGCUGGAGAUUUAGCUCAGCGGCAUAAGCGCCUGCCUUGCAAGCAGGCAGUCGUGAGUUUGAUCCCGGGUACCGAUAAAAAGGAAAAAGACAAAAAGAAACAA